CCCGCGCUCCCGGCCCGGCCUCCCCCCUUCCCUUCUACCUUUCGUCCUUUGCGCGCUGUCGUUUUAGGCUCUCCUUUUCUUCCUCUUGUUUUCCCCCCAGUGUUCUCCCUGCUGUCUCCAGCCUUCCUUCCUCUCCCGUCUUUCUUUUGCCCGCUUCUGGUCCUCCUUACACCCCCUCCCCAGGCAAGGUCCGGCUCUCCUCCCUCUCGGUGCUUCGUCCUCUCCCGAGCCCCUGGGGACCCAGAUCUGCCCCCUGGAAACGGCACGCGUUGUCUGAUGGAGGGAGGCGGACCCAGUGGGAGAAAGUCCCCAAGUGGGGUGAUGGGGAGGGUCACGGCGCGGGUCCCCGGGCGGCCGGCCGAGAGGGCGUGAAGUUAGACCGGAAUCGUGGAGGGCAGCAGUCGGGGCGUCCCGGGCCGCGGGCACGGCUCAGGCAAAGGUCCAAAGGCAGGAAGCCAAGGUGAUUCCGGAGGACAACGAGGCAGUCAGGUCUGAUCACAGCCCUGGGGCCGGGAGCCAAGGAGCUGGGAGAGGUUGGGGUGAAUGGGCGGGGCCGUUCUCUGUGCUGGGAAGGCCCGGCCAGGAACUUGGUCCUGCAAGGGUGCGCGGGAGCCACGGAGGGUUGUGAGCAAGGAUCAGGUCCGAAUGUCCAUCCUUUCUGAGAGCGUGAGCGAGGUUGGGAUGGAGGCAUCCCCUGCACUGAGGGGCUAGGACCCGGAGGCCGAGAGGAAGGGGUGGGGCCGAGAAUGUCGGGGCGUCUGCACCGCUGGCGCUGGCGGGAGGGUUUAAGAGGAAGCUGGAUCCCGGCCAGGAGCUGAGGGAAAGGGUUCAGUCCCAAUGGGGAGCCAGGAGAGAGAGAGAGAGAAGAUGCUGCCUGCCUCUGGAGCCUAGUGGACAGCGAGUGCUGGGCAGUUCAGGGAGGACACGCAGGCCAAGGAUGAUGUUUGGUCCUGGGAUUCCCUUCCAGCUCCGCCUCUGGAGAAGCACCCCACCCGUCCCUGUGAGGACAGCUCUACUUACUAAUUUCUUGCGCACCUUUCCAGAGGAAUUUUACACUUGUAUACACACGUGCUGUGCCAGCCUCUUUUUGUAUUUUUUGUCCUGAGAGGGAGUCAUAUUAUUCUUCAGUGUUUUUUUAAACACGAUACCUUAAUGAUUCCCCAUAUCCAUGCUGUUAGAGCUACCACAUUCAUGGCUGUAUAGUAUUCUAUUUAUCCAUAAUCUAUACAGUUCAUUGAGAAAUUGGGAUUUAAAAAAACAAACAAACUAGCCCAUACGCUUAUUCAAAUCCUCUGGUUUGGGUGUUAAGAAAUAAAAUUUCAUCCAAUGCUUUUAAGUCUCAGAACCCAGAUAUUUGAUAAAUACUUCUAGGGCUUUUAAAAUUCAUUCAUAGUUCCUAUAAUGAUCUCCCCUUGCCCGUGAUUUCAUUUUUCAAAGUUUCUUUUGCCUACAAUCAACUGCGGCUCUAAAAUAUUACACGGAAGGGCCGGGGAUUUAGCUCAGUGGUUCGGUGGCCUGCCUUGCAAGGGCAAGGACCGGAGUUCAAUCCCCGGUACCAAAAAAAAAAAGACAUGGAAAAUUCCAGAAAUAAACACCUCAUAAGCAAGGUAGUGAGAGCUCACACCAUCCUUCCGGGACCCGAGCCAUCCCUUUGUCAGGCGAACCUGUGCUACCUGUGCCUGGUAGUCACUUAAUAACUGCCUCAAGUCCGCGUAGUUAUCAACGGACUGUGGAGGCACUGCAGAGCUAGGGUUCAAAUAAUCUCUUUUAUUUAUUAAUGGCACCCAAGGGCUGCUGGAAUUGUUAUUACAAUGCAGUUACAAUCGCUCUGUUUUAUUAUCGUAGAUAUUAAUCUGCUAGUGUACCUUAUGUAAAAAGUAAAUGUUGACGUAGGUCUGCAUGUCUAGGAAAGACACACGGGAUAAGAGUGUUCAGUGCUUCCUGAGGUUUCAGGACUUCCCUGGGGAUCUCGCAAUGUAUUACUCCCUCCCCUGACGAGGGGAUAACACUGUCACCAUAGGAACAGAGAUGGCCAUCGUAACAACACGCACUUUUUACUGCAUGAUUAUUUGGGGCCAGUGCCCAGACGAGUUAUUUACUAUGCAUUACACCGUUGAUUACAAAGCCACCUUAUUAUUGGAAAGUCGUCAUUUUCCUGUAAGGAUAAGGAAACCAAGGUUCUGAAUAAUGAGUUACUCUUUCACAAAAUAAGCGUCAGGUAGAGCCAGGGAGUCAAACUCAGGCUGCUCUGACUCCCAGUUACUUCUUGGGGCAGAGAGCUCCUGCUUCACAGAAUGAGCUACCACUGGGGAUCGAUGCUGGGCACGCUUAGACCUUGCCACACACGUUGCAAGUUCCCCUGUGAUUACGAAGCUGCCUGUGUCGGUCCCUGAACUGUGCCUCGACAUCAGAGACUGUCCCUCCACGCCCAUGCCAGGUGCCCCGUGGACGGGGCUGCCUCAUGGUGCUGGCCGCUUGUCCUGCCUGAUCUUGCUGUGUUGCGAUGUCUGGAUGGGUGUCUGUCUCUGGGAAUUCGCUGAGGGCACAGUCUCCAUCUGAGUUUUUUCUGUGUCCUCAGUAUCGCCCAACAUGGGUGCGGCUCAGAGCAGGGGUACUGAAAACUGUGAAAUGAAUGAGUGGAGGGAUGGGUGAGUAUCAAAUGAUUUAUGCUUUAGGCUGGAAUUUGCUUACAUCCUGGGACAAGAGCAUAGCUCUCAUUAGUUCCUGAAACAUUAGGUAGGCCUCCAUUUGCAUAAGUCAGUCGUGGGGACCACUGUUUCUAUCGUUCUGUGUGGUGCAUGGGCCUCCAAACCCUUCAGCGCCUAAAACACAUCUGUUGUAAUUUUACACAAAUCCCUGAGUUUCAGGACCUGCGUUCCUAUCAAACCUGGAGACAGAGGGGCUACUUUUCCCAUCGGUGCCUGGCGCUGAGAUGCAUCUUUCCCAUCAGAUACCGGCACACAAGUGCCACCGUACCUGUCAGACUUGACUACCCUGUGUCCCUGGUUCCAUUCAUUCCACUUAGACAUAGGAGCCACCGUUCUAACAACUCCUGAGGCGCUGAUGCCACCACGCUUGCUCCCCAUUGGAGUAGCGUUCCGGUGGAAAGUAGAAACUCCCUGCCCUUCACGAGGCCAUCCCCAAGUUUCUGAAACAAGAACAGCUAGACGGGAGGACAGCUGUCCCUUACCUGCCCUGGUCUGAGUCAACAGCUCGCAUGUAAUACCCAGGGGACGCUGAGUUGGACAACCCUGCAUGAGGGAUCAAGACUAAACCCGGGACGCUCCCGGGAUACCGGUUAUUCCUUACAGGUGGGACAAUCCUCAGAUAUAUAACAACACAGACCGUUCAAACGCAGCGGGUGCUCCGAUCGCUGUAUUAGUCCAAAAUGGCAAUUUGUGCCUGGUAGACUUGUAGGGGCAAAGUUUUGGUGUUGGAGCGGAAGUGGGAGAGAUGAAUCUUGUUCCCACUCUCUGCUCUCUUCUGGACAAGGGCCUGGGGAAGUGAGUGAUUAUUUGGGAAGGGUUUCCCACACCUCACCUAGCCGUGCACCACACCUCCUGCUGAUCCCGUGUGUGGACCAUCUUCAGCCGCUCUUCUCUAUAUCUAAGCAAAGGUCGGGGAAGGCUGGGCCGAGGAACAAGGAUCCUGAGGUGGGUAUGGUUUUUACAAGCCUUUCAGCUGCCAUCUACCUCACCUACCUCUGGUAAUAGCUUUUCCCCAGACGGUCCACAUUCCAUGAGACUGACAAGAAUGUCAUGCUAGAAGCAGAAAUAUCCAGGCUCCCUCUCAAAACUUGGCCCGGACAUAUAUCACCAACAGGGUAAUCAGACCAUUCAUCCAUGACCUCCACUACCUGACUAGAAGCCAAGGUUUUACUUUUGAUCCUAACCCUUGAUUUUAUGUCUUUGAAAAGAUGCAAGCAUUCACACACAUGGACAAUGUUUUCAUUUUCCAAGAACAGCCUUGUCUUGUGUAUGUAGCAAGGAGAUAAAAAGCAUAGAGUCUGGGCUGGACUGCCUGCGAUUGGGUCCUGGUUUCCCCACUCCACCAGCCGUGUCUCUCAGUGCCUCAGUUUUGUGAUCAGUAUGAUGGGGUUGAUAAUAGCCACCUUCAUCACAGGAUGGAGACAUGAGGGAAGGGAUUGAAGGAAGAAAGUGCCUGGCACAUAGGAGAAUUAUCUGAUGUUAUUCCUACCAGUUAAUAGACAGCUAGCUCUUUGCUCCAGUUUCUUUAUGCACAAACAUAUAAUGUUAUCAUUUUUUAAAAUUUAUUUUGGUUUUUUAAAACAGGAUUUCACUAUGUAGUAUGGGCUGGCUAAGUUUAUAUAAACAAAGCAAUUUGUACUUACAGAAAUUUUUUUUUUCUUUUUUGCUUGCCUUUAUUGACUCCUCUCUUUCUGCCCAUUCUCAGGUGUCUGCAUGGCUCCACGAUCCUGCUCCUGACAGACGGCCAGCGGUCCAGCAGCUUCACGAGGCCGAAACCCUCAUGUUCCUGCAUCGCGUCAGCAGGUGCUGUGCCGUCUCAUAGCCGCGCAGGAAGGCAAGUGCGGGACAGUAAGAUGAUCCGAGAGAGCCCACAUUCCCAUUUACCGCUCUGCUACUGUGAUUGCUGUUUGAGAUUGUUUAUUGUUAAUCUCUUGCUGUGGUGAAUUUAUAUGCUAAACUGUAUCUUAGGGUGAGCACACAUACAUCACAGGCACACACGUGUUGUCCGUGGUUCCAGUCACCCAUGGGUAUCUGGGGUGAAUACCCCCGUGAUUAAGGGUCUGCUGUGCCCGAGGAGAGAUUUGGAAGACCACAUGGCAAAGAGGCAGACAUUAGACAGAUGCACCUCUGUCCCGAGGACCCUGGCAGCCACCAGAGGCUGGAACAAGGCAGGAAGGAGCCUUUAGGAAGAGCACAGCUCUCCAAGGCCUAGGCUCCACUCACAUGAGAGAAUACAUCGCUCUGUGGUGCUGUCAGAGAAGCCCUAGGAAACUGAUGCACCAUCCUUGCUGUGUGUCUCACGUGCUUUUCCUCCGUGCUUAAGUCACAAACCCAUGAGUAGUCAUACACUUGUGGUGCGUCGAAAUCCAGUUUCAGUCUCAGGGUUUGUUCACAUUUUUCUGUGUAGUUUUGUCUCACGUCAGUCUUCUGAAGACUGAAGCACUGACUGCCAGCUUCAAGGCCAUGUCUGGCCUCCUUUGAACGUGUGUGGCCUCAGGGAAUGUGGGAACGAUUGCGUUAGCGUCACGUCCGAUCCGGGUAAUAGUAUGAAUAAUACAGACCAUCACGUUAUUUCCAGCGAUUCUUGAAAACCUUUCAACUUUAAACAUUUUCGUAUAACUUUGUGAGUCUUGUGUUUGUUCCAGGUCAAAACUGUCUCAUUCAGUUGAGGUCUAAGUGCGUGCGUGUGUGCGUGCGUGUGUGUGUGUUCACACUCCUGUGCGUGCGUGCGUGUGUGCAUAUGUGUUUCUGUGCAUGUAAUUAUAUAAUUACAGGAGUGAGUGGCUGAAAUAACCAUUGAUGAGUGUGAAAGCCUGCAGGCUGAAGGCGUUUCUUCAGGAGAUGGACUCUGGGGCACAAGUUUGAGUUCAGCAAAUUAACUGGGGGCCUUCAGAGUCUCCAUGCCCCGGGGAGAUAAGGGGACAGGACUCGGGGUGGGAGAAGUUGAACCUUUCUCUGUGGAGCCCUCAGGAAGGCCUCAGCCAAUCCCACAGGCUUCCUGAGUAGGGGAAGAGGGGCCAGGCCUUACAACACACACUGGCCUGUUAAAAGAAAAUUUAAAAAUCUGACAGAUUAGUUUUUAUUUUUCAGAAACAUUUUGAUUAGCACACGCUUGCCACACGUAAUGAGUGCCCUCAUCGCGGGAGCAUAAACACAUCACAUCUCAGUCCUGUCCACUUCCUCUCCCUGCUUCCCCUCUCCCUCCGUCCCUUGAUCCCUUCCUCAUUUGCAAAAAGCUACACAAAUUAAAUUUAACAGCGUUUAUUUAAGCAAAGUGUGAUUGGAGAAUGGGGCAGUGGGGCGUCACGCAGUCCCGGGGAGGGCUGGAGAGCACCACCCAGCAGCAUGAGUGGAGAGCUUCAAGGCAAAUGCCGAGGCAGAUCUGACAACCCUGUCAACCCUGAUCAUCCCUGGCCGCUCCCACCACAGGUCUGCCUCUCAGGGAACUCCGUCCUUGUACCGGCUGACACCUGGUGAUUUGUUACCCCAAAGCAUGCUGAAGUUAGUGCUGAGAGAAGUGUGUCUCCCAAAAAGCAGAUUUUGGGGUGAGGCCUGGGGGAGCUGUUUGGGACAUGAGGGUUCCACCCUCAUGAGUGGAUCAAUGUGGAUUCUAGAAGGACCUGAGGCUACGAGGUCAAUUUCUCUUGUUCUCUUUUACCCUCGUAUAUUCCACCAUGCUAUGACAAAGCAAGAAGGCCUUCCAGAUGCCAGCAUCCCCAAAACAGACACUGCAGAAUUGGGAGGAGCAAAUUCACCCUCCACACACACACACACAAUCUGUCUCUGUCUCUUAGGUUUUGGUUUAAUUGCACUCUAAGGCUACUGUUUGUCAGGUAGGAACUCAGAAUACAGAGACAGCUUUAGACCCAUGACCUCCUGCUUGCUCUGCUCCAACAGACCCACCACUGGGCAUUGGCUGACCGGGCAGGGGCUGUGGCCUUGGGGAGGCAGCUGCCCCCAUCUGAGGGCUUCUUUGGGAUGCAGGAAUCAGCUGAGGGCUGUCAGUCACCAACUUCCUUUGCAGCUGGGCAAGCAGUGUCCCCACUACAGCAUGCCUUUGACACCCACAAUAACUGAGGAUUUCUGCAUAAUUACACAACACAGGAAAUAGACUUGUGUUGGUAAAAAAUGUUAGACGUGCUUUGGUUAGAUAUGUCGUUAGGAAGAAUGUUUUUUCUCCUCUUGGAACCAACAAGUACUUGCAACAAAUGUAAAUAAUAUCAUAAGACAGGACAGCAAAGAUUAGAUAAGAUGGAAAGCCAGAGAUCAUUUUUGUGAUAGGCAGCAGGCUUUGUAGAAUUAUUUGCUAUUCCAGCAUCCACACUGUUACAGAAAAUAAUCUUUAGUAACUGCAUUUGAUUUUGUAAAGUUAUUUGAUUCCAAUUAGGUCAUACAUCUUUUAAGAAAAAUGUUAUUUGAAGAUUUGUCACAUUUGUGAAGAUGAAUUUUUGGAAGGCUAACAACCCUGCCGACUUAAGUUUCUUGAAGUGGAAAUAACAUCAUCUAAACUCAUGUACGACAAUUUCUAUGAUAAUCCAUCUUUGACGCAGGCAUCAAAGACUGCAAAGAGCGUGGGGAAAAUAUAGUGCUAGCAGGGAUGUGCCACGGACACCUUUUGUUCUCACUAAUCAAACUUCAAAACAACAGGUUUUGAAAGAAUACUUAAAAAAUAUAAAUUCUUCAUAAUUUUCAGUCUACUGAAGCCGACACCUGAAAUCUGUCAAGUUGACUGCACAGUACUGUCAACUAUUUUUGGAAAACGGGGGCUUUUCAAAGUGGGCCCAAGCUAUGAUUCUUAAAAGUGCUUUCUAGACAACAUGCUUUAAAAAAUUUGUUCUGGACGUUAUUAAACCAUGUACAGAAUGGUUGUAGUCACUGUGUACAGCUUCAGCAGGUUGCGUGGGAAACGUGGGUACGAAGAAAUAACCAAGUGACUUUUUAUUUGAUUUGUGACUAAUUGAGCUGUAUUUCUACUUAGUUGUUGAGAUAUAUCUCAGUCUUGCACAUAGUUAAAACACAGAGGAUAUGAAUUACAGAAUGUAUAUAGAAUAGAAGUGGUACUUGUCAUUGACGAUGGAACCCAAAAAAGGCAAAGACUAUCAGUGGAUUCAAAAUUACAAACAUCAAGGACCCGAGUUCAAUCCCAGGUACAAAAAAAAAAAAA